CACGUAGGGGGCAAGCGUUGUCCGGAUUUAUUGGGCGUAAAGAGCUCGUAGGUGGUUCGGUAAGUCGGGUGUUAAACCCCCAGGCUCAACCUGGGGACGCCACUCGAUACUGCUGUGACUAGAGUCCGGUAGGGGAGCGUGGAAUUCCUGGUGUUGCGGUGAAAUGCGCAGAUAUCAGGAGGAACACCAGCGGCGAAGGCGGCGCUCUGGGCCGGUACUGACACUGAGGAGCGAAAGCGUGGGUAGCAAACAGG
rnacentral:rRNA from 1 species